CGGGGUGAGUAAUGCUUGGGAAUCUAGCUUAUGGAGGGGGAUAACUACGGGAAACUGUAGCUAAUACCGCGUAGUAUCGGAGGAUGAAAGUGUGGGACCUUCGGGCCACAUGCCAUAGGAUGAGCCCAAGUGGGAUUAGGUAGUUGGUGAGGUAAAGGCUCACCAAGCCGACGAUCUCUAGCUGGUCUGAGAGGAUGACCAGCCACACUGGGACUGAGACACGGCCCAG
rnacentral:rRNA from 1 species